rnacentral:rRNA from 1 species
GACGAACGCUGGCGGCGUGCUUAAUACAUGCAAGUCGAACGGACAGGCCCGGCUUUUGUUGCGUUCUCGUUUGGCGAACGGGUGAGUAACACGUGAGUAACCUGUCCUUGACUGAGGGAUAACUUCAGGAGACUGGGGCGCAUACCGCGUAGGAUCUCCUGCUGCAUGGUGUUGGUUGGAAAAAUUCGGCGGUUGGGGAUAGACUCGCUGGUUAUCAGCUUGUUUGUGUGGUAGUUGCUUACCAAGGCUUUGAAGGCUAGCCGGCCUGAGAGGGUGAACAGGCACCUUGGGACUGAGAUACGGACCAGAAUCCUAUGGGAGGCAGCAGUGGAGAAUAUUGCACAAUGGGGGGAAGCCUGAUGCAACAACGCCGCGUGCGGGAUGCCGGCCUUCGGGUUGUAAACCGCUUUCGCAUGUGCCGAAGCGUGCGUGACGGUAAUGGGUAAAGAAGCACCGGCUAACUACGUG